GACGAACGCUGGCGGCGUGCUUAACACAUGCAAGUCGAACGUGAUUUUUGUGGAAAUUCUUUCGGGAAUGGAAAUGAAAUGAAAGUGGCGAACGGGUGAGUAACACGUGAGCAACCUACCUUACACAGGGGGAUAGCCGUUGGAAACGACGAUUAAUACCGCAUGAGACCACAGAAUCGCAUGAUAUAGGGGUCAAAGAUUUAUCGGUGUAAGAAGGGCUCGCGUCUGAUUAGCUCGUUGGAAGGGUAAAGGCCUACCAAGGCGACGAUCAGUAGCCGGUCUGAGAGGAUGAACGGCCACAUUGGAACUGAGACACGGUCCAAACUCCUACGGGAGGCAGCAGUGGGGAAUAUUGCACAAUGGGGGGAACCCUGAUGCAGCGACGCCGCGUGAGCGAAGAAGGUUUUCGAAUCGUAAAGCUCUGUCCUAUGAGAAGAUAAUGACGGUAUCAUAGGAGGAAGCCCCGGCUAAAUACGUG
rnacentral:rRNA from 1 species